rnacentral:rRNA from 1 species
AUUGAACGCUGGCGGAAUGCUUUACACAUGCAAGUCGAACGGCAGCACGGACUUCGGUCUGGUGGCGAGUGGCGAACGGGUGAGUAAUGUAUCGGAACGUGCCCAGUCGUGGGGGAUAACGUAGUGAAAAUUACGCUAAUACCGCAUACGAUCUAUGGAUGAAAGCGGGGGAUCGCAAGACCUCGCGCGAUUGGAGCGGCCGAUAUCAGAUUAGGUAGUUGGUGGGGUAAAGGCCCACCAAGCCAACGAUCUGUAGCUGGUCUGAGAGGACGACCAGCCGCACUGGAACUGAGACACGGUCCAGACUCCUACGGGAGGCAGCCGUGGGGAAUUUUGGACAAUGGGCGAAAGCCUGAUCCAGCCAUUCCGCGUGCAGGAUGAAGGCCCUCGGGUUGUAAACUGCUUUUGUACAGAACGAAAAGGUUUCUACUAAUACUAGGAGCUCAUGGCGGUACUGUAAGAUUAAGCACCGGCUAACUACGUGCCAGCAGCCGCAGUAA